rnacentral:ncRNA from 1 species
UGACCUCAGAUCAGGCAAGGCAACCCGCUGAAUUUAAGCAUAUUAAUAAGCGGAGGAAAAGAAACUAACAAGGAUUCCCCUAGUAAUGGCGAAUGAAGCGGGAACAGCUCAAAUUUAAAAUCUCCGUUGCUUGCAACGGCGAAUUGUAGUUUCGAGAAGCACUUUCUCGGCGGAUCCGAGGUCGUCCAAGUUGCUUGGAACAGCACGUCGUAGAGGGUGACAACCCCGUCUGCGGCGAUCUCGGCCGUUCACGAUGUGCUUUCGACGAGUCGGGUUGUUUGGGAAUGCAGCCCAAAAUGGGUGGUAAACUCCAUCUAAAGCUAAAUAUUGGCACGAGACCGAUAGCGAACAAGUACCGUGAGGGAAAGAUGAAAAGCACUUUGAAAAGAGAGUUAAAAAGUAAGUGAAACCGUUAAAGGGGAAACGAAUGGGGUUAGCAAUGCGUCGUGCGAGAUUCAGCCGGUGGGUGGGCCAGGCGGGCGGUUGGCGGAUCUGAAUGGACCGCUGCCGUUCGGGUUGGUUUCCCGACCGUCGCACUUCUCGCAGGCGCGCGCCAACGUCGGUUAGGGCUGGGUCUCAAAGGCGGUGGAAAGGUAGGUUUGGACUCUCGGGCCCGAACUGUUACAGUCCUCCGUUUGUCAUGGCCCGGACCUGACCGAGGAGCUUGCGGUGCAUGCCGUUCGGCUAGGGUCCCGUCUUCCC